GAUGAACGCUAGCGGCACGCUUCAUACAUGCAAGUCGAGGGGCAGCAUAAAGUACUUGUACUUUGAUGGCGACCGGCGAACGGGUGCGUAACGCGUAUGCAACUUACCUUUUACUAGAGAAUAGCCAAGAGAAAUUUUGAUUAAUGCUCUAUACUCUUAUUAACUCACAUGAGUUUUUAAGAAAAGCUCCGGCGGUAAAAGAUGGGCAUGCGUCCUAUUAGCUUGUAGGUGAGGUAACGGCUCACCUAAGCUCCGAUAGGUAGGGGUCCUGAGAGGGAGAUCCCCCACACUGGUACUGAGACACGGACCAGACUUCUACGGAAGGCAGCAGUAAGGAAUAUUGGACAAUGGAGGAAACUCUGAUCCAGCGAUGCCGCGUGAAGGAAGACGGCCCUAUGGGUUGUAAACUUCUUUUAUACAGGAAGAAACCUUUCCACGUGUGGAAAGCUGACGGUACUGUAAGAAUAAGGAUCGGCUAACUCCGUG
rnacentral:rRNA from 1 species